rnacentral:rRNA from 1 species
CCCAACAGACCGUCACUGUCCCUCGCGACGCUCCCUCGUUCCCCUCCACCACAACGCCUCGCUCCCCUCUCGCGCCGCCGGCCGGCCACCCGUCUUCCCCACCUCCGGCCACCGCCGCCCUACCCUCUCUCCCGCAGCCCACCGCCCCUCUCUCCCCACCGCCCCCUUUCUCUACCGUGCGGCCGCUCUCCACCCCGAUCCACAUCGAGCCGCCGACCAGCCUCACCCUAGCUCAGCCUCGCCGGCCACCCCCUCCCCUCCACGGCCGGCAGACUUCCCCAAAGCUGGCUGUCCUCCCCGCCGAGCCAGUGCGCCCCCGGACCCGAAACCCUAGCCGAGCUGCAGCAGCCGCCGCCGCGGGGCCUCAUGGCGCAGUCCCAUGACCAGGUGCUCGCCUCCGCCUCCCUCCUGCACCGUCCGGUGACCGUGCUCCCUGUCCCGCUCGGCGACCUCGCUGCUCCGACGACCCCAAGCUCCGCCUUAAAGGCCAUGAUGCUGUUGCGAGGCGGUGGUUUUCCGUUGGCGGUGGUGCCUUCCGGUGGUUGUCUGUCAUCGGAGUUCCUGGUGCCGCUCUUCUCUGACGAUGAUGCUGUGGACUGGCUGCUGAUUUUAGUUUGGUCACGGUGGUUUUCCUGUGGUGGUGGUGCUGUCCAUCGGAGCUGCUUCCGUUGCCCACCGGAGCUCCUGCCGCACCUUGUUCAGCUCCGUCACUGCCGACGUCAUCAAGGCUUCCUGGCACGGCUCCAUCUCUGACCGGCUGUGUACUGCGGCAUCGCUUGCCUUCUGGGAGAAGGACCAUUUGUAGAUGCUCUGCCUUAGCGGCGACAACUAGGUCGACCUACUCCUGCUCAUGGUUUUCGAGUCGCGCGACUAGUCGAUGAGUCACAAAAAUAUAUCGACUCAACUUGUUAGUGUCGACUCGAGUCGCGAGUCACGACUAGUCACAACUGCAGGCUCGACUUUUUCCGAGUCGCUACCCCAGAGCGACUCGGAUGAGCCGCGACUUGAAAACCAUGCUCCUGCUUCUCUGAUGUCAACCAUGGACAGGUUGCUGCUGAUUGAGCCACUACCACGUCGCGGCAUGAAUGCCAGGUCCCGGUGAUGUUGUGGUUGUGGUGGGUCCUCCGGUGGCGGUGCUGACAUCCAGGGGUGCUGUGGUGGUGGUGCUGUCCACCGGAUCUCCUGCUGGUGCUGUCGACGUCCGUGUCCGCUGAGCUGCUGCUGCUGGCGUCGACUACGACAUGCUGCCCCUGCCUUCUUCGACUGGUACCUCCUACAGCACCAUGCCCCCACUGGCGUGCCACUGAAGGUUCGUUUUUGGAUAAAUUCGGUGCUUUUGGAGAAUGAGAUGCUUGUGUGGACUAGAAGGAACAAGGGCUUGACAUUCCUCGCUCGCCGACUGUCUAUGCGGCUCAUUGCCUCCGGCUGCUUGGGUGCCCAAGUUCUCGCAGCAGUGCUUUGGUUGCGGCCUAUAUAAUAUUUUGGUCCUGGUAAUGUCAAGUAGCAGUUGGCAUGGUGGUAGCAUCGUUCUUGUGAUGCUCCAGGUUCAGGCGCUGUAAUGGCUUAGUAGUAUUUCUGAUGUGUCUUGUUUGGGGCCCUGUUUGACUUUUGGGGAUGAUGACUGGCUACCUUGGUUCCGGCUUUGCUUUUAUUCUAAUUGUAAAGAAAAGGGUCUCGCGAUGAUGGAUCGAUGUUGUUGUAUCAGUUCAUCAUCGGAUAUUGAUCUGUUCAUAAUAUUAUUGGCAAGCGAGUAUUCAUC